rnacentral:rRNA from 1 species
AACGAACGCUGGCGGCAUGCUUAACACAUGCAAGUCGCACGAGAAUGAAGACUUCGGUUUUCAUGUAAAGUGGCGCACGGGUGCGUAACACGUAAGUAAUCUACCUAUCAGACGGGGACAACCGGCCGAAAGGCUGGCUAAUUCCCGAUACUAUCCUUUUUUCAUAAAGUGGAGAGGAUGAAAGCAGGCCUCUGAUCUAAGCUUGCGCUGAUGAAUGAGCUUGCGGCCCAUCAGGUAGUUGGUAGGGUAAUGGCCUACCAAGCCUGUGACGGGUAGCUGGUCUGAGAGGACGAUCAGCCACACUGGGACUGGAACACGGCCCAGACUCCUACGGGAGGCAGCAGUGGGGAAUUUUGGACAAUGGGCGAAAGCCUGAUCCAGCCAUGCCGCGUGCAGGAUGAAGGCCUUCGGGUUGUAAACUGCUUUUGUACGGAACGAAAAGCCUCUUUCUAAUAAAGAGAGGUCAUGACGGUACCGUAAGAAUAAGCACCGGCUAACUACGUGCCAGCCGCCGCGGUAA